rnacentral:lncRNA from 1 species
UCCCGAACCCAAGAUUUGGUUGCGAGACCUUGUCUUUUCUUUUCCUUUUUCCAGGUUUACUUCGAGCGUUUCCUUUCUCUCCUUUGGGAUAAAUAACGCACGGUGGCAACUCUUCUGUCAUUCUUUUCUCGCAGGUUGUUUUUUCGCACACUAUAUUUUUUAGGCUGCGACAGCUGGCGACUCUGCUGGGGAUACGGUUUCCCUAAGCGAGUCCCUCCUAGCUUUUGUAGUUUGUUU